AUGCAUUUGGAUAAGAGCAUUGUCGCGAGUCCCCUGCCAAACCCUAGAACUCUCCCUCUCCUUUCCUCCCUCGCUCGCCUCUCCCUCAAUCUGGAUCGGAGCCGAGCAUCGCGGUUGCUGUGGCUCUGGAAUCGCCGUGGCCACCCUCCUCCUCGAGCUGCGCCAAGGCUUCCAAGAGGACUGAAACCCUCGUCCUCAUCCUUCCCGAGCACCAGGACGAGCCGGACCGCUCUGCAACUCGCAGGCAUCGUUGUCCUUCCCCGCGCACGCUCCUCUGCUUCGCCAUCUCCCUCGAAGCUCCCAAUGCCCCUGGACCACCCCGUGUCCUCCCUCCUGACCGGCAACCGCCGCUACCCCGAGGUCGAUGAUGCCCCGGUGAUCGACUACGUCGACGACGACACUUCUUCCUUUUCAACAGAGCUUCCAGAUGGUGGAGCCUAG
rnacentral:rRNA from 1 species